CUGAAUUGGGAUCCUUAGCAAUAACAGCUCUCUUAAAAUAACGAUCAAUGGAGGGAGGGUUAAAAUAACCCAACAACACCACUUCAAUUCUGAUUUUCCUCUUCUUAGAAAACUGUAGUGUAGUGGGUGGAACAAAAGUUUUUACUUGGAGAGCAUCAAGUAGUGCAAGAUUAGUAAAUUCAUUCUCAUACUUCACAGUAGCCAACGCAUCUUCAUCUCCAUGGAAGUAUCUAACCCAUAAAUGGUAUUUGCCCACCAUAUCAUGAAGCACGCAGAUAACAUGUUCACAUGUCAUAACCUUGGACUGCCCCUCAUCUAACUUUGAUGAUAAACUCUGAACCAAUGGGCUCUUUCACUGAAGGGGUAUCUUUCUUUGAAUAAAGUAUGGUAACUGUUGUUGUACUAUGGUCAGUGUGUCCCUUUCUAGCUGCAGCCUCAGCAACACUAAGCAUCUCCAUGUUGACAAUGCUACAUAAAAAUCAAACAGAAUACCACAUAAAAAUCAAACAUAACUAACAUUAAACAGAACACCAUGCAAAUUGCAAUAAUACCCUUUGGAUUAUUGAAUUAAAACUAGAUGUGAAUGCUAUUGCAACCAUCACUCGCUCCGCUCCCAAUAUGUCAGACCAACUGAUCGUUCAUAGCAACAGAUUGAGGUACAAAGUUAGAGCAAAGGGAAAGAAAGUAAGAUAAUGAUAAAUGACCACACAUCCCCUAUUGAGAAAUCGACGCCCAAACCUUAACACCAACUCUCUAGAAGUGGCACCAAAGUAGUGUGACACCACUUCUUCUGUGGACCUUAUACUCACACUACUCUGAGGAGACCUUCACACCGACACUAAUACGGGAGACCUACUCUCUACAAGGAAACUAGAAUCUUUUAUUCAUCUACUCACAACUUGUUACAACACUCACUCUUACACUUUUUAUGUGGCUACCCUACCAUGACACCACUACACUACAUGACAAUUUUACCAUCUAUUCACCUAUAGCUCACAUACCACUCUAUGCCAUGAUAC
rnacentral:lncRNA from 1 species